AUUUCUUCUGUGUCCUUUCCUUUAGAAUUUAAGUUCAAGAUCAACAAUUUCAUAAAGAGAUUUGGUAAGAAUCCCAUUGGAAUAUCCGUUGGAGGAUUCUUUUACAUUAAGAGAAAUUUCGUUAUAAGAGUAAUUAGCGGCUUAUACUCCACAUUGUCUUCGUUUAUUCAAAUUAGUGGCGUAUUGCAACGUGAAAACAAAUGUCUUGUGAAGCUCAGAAACCACACAAGAGC